rnacentral:rRNA from 1 species
ACGACCUCAACUCAAGCAAGAUUACCCGCUGAACUUAAGCAUAUCAGUAAGCG